rnacentral:rRNA from 1 species
GGAAUAUUGGACAAUGGGCGAAAGCCUGAUCCAGCAAUGCCGCGUGUGUGAAGAAGGCCUGCGGGUUGUAAAGCCCUUUCAGUAGAGAAGACAAGCCUGCGGUUAAUAACCGCGAGUCUUGACGUAACCUCCAGAAGAAGCACCGGCUAACUCCGUGCCAGCAGCCGCGGUAAUACGGAGGGUGCAAGCGUUAAUCGGAAUUACUGGGCGUAAAGCGCGCGUAGGCGGUUUGGUAAGUCGGGUGUGCAAGCCCCGGGCUUAACCUGGGAAUUGCAGUGGAUACUGCCUGACUAGAGUAUGGUAGAGGGAAGUGGAAUUUCCGGUGUAGCGGUGAAAUGCGUAGAUAUCGGAAGGAACACCAGUGGCGAAGGCGACUUCCUGGGCCAAUACUGACGCUGAGGUGCGAAAGCGUGGGGAGCAAAC